UACGUAGGGUGCGAGCGUUGUCCGGAAUUAUUGGGCGUAAAGGGCUCGUAGGCGGUUUGUCGCGUCGGGAGUGAAAACCCAGGGCUUAACCCUGGGCUGGCUUCCGAUACGGGCAGACUAGAGGUAUGCAGGGGAGAACGGAAUUCCUGGUGUAGCGGUGAAAUGCGCAGAUAUCGGGAGGAACACCAAUUGCGAAGGCAGCUCGCUGGGACGUCACUGACGCUGAGACGCGAAAGCGUGGGGAGCAAACAGG
rnacentral:rRNA from 1 species